rnacentral:tRNA from 1 species
GCCUGGGUGGCUCAGCGGUUGAGCAUCUGCCUUUGGCUCAGAUCUUGACCCCCCGGGGAUCCUGGGAUCGAGUCCCACAUCGGGCU